rnacentral:rRNA from 1 species
AUACGGAAGGUGCAAGCGUUAAUCGGAAUCACUGGGCGUAAAGCGCUCGUAGGUGGCUUUGUAAGUCAGGUGUGAAAGCCCACGGCUCAACCGUGGAAUUGCACUUGAUACCGCAUUGCUUGAGUUCGGGAGAGGGUAGUGGAAUUCCAGGUGCAGGAGUGAAAUCCGUAGAUAUCCGGAGGAACAUCAGUGGCGAAGGCGGCCACCUGGACCGAUACUGACGCUGAGGUGCG